GACGAACGCUGGCGGCGUGCUUAACACAUGCAAGUCGAACGAUGAAACAAUUCUUGAUGUCUUCGGACUGAAAGAGCUGUGGAUUAGUGGCGGACGGGUGAGUAACGCGUGAGCAAUCUGCCUUACACAAAGGGAUAGCCUCGGGAAACCGGGAUUAAUACCAUAUGAUAUCACAUUUUCGCAUGAAGAAGUGAUUAAAGAAAUUCGGUGUAAGAUGAGCUCGCGUCCCAUUAAUUAGUUGGUGAGGGUAACGGCCCACCAAGAUAGCGAUGGGUAGCCGAUCUAAGAGGAUGACCGGCCACAUUGGAACUGAGAAACGGUCCAAACUCCUACGGGAGGCAGCAGUGGGGAAUAUUGCACAAUGGGGGAAACCCUGAUGCAGCGACGCCGCGUGAGCGAUGAAGGCUUUCGAGUCGUAAAGCUCUGUCCUAUGGGAAGAUAAUGACGGUACCAUAGAAGAAAGCCCCGGCUAAUUACGUGCCAGCAGCC
rnacentral:rRNA from 1 species